UAAUGAAACAUUGGUUCCCGUACGAUCACCAAAGUUAAGCAACAUCGAGUCUGGUUAGUACCUAGACAGGUGACUGGUUGGGAAUACCACCUGCUGUAA